rnacentral:rRNA from 1 species
UACGUAGGGUGCAAGCGUUGUCCGGAAUUAUUGGGCGUAAAGAGCUCGUAGGCGGUUUGGUAAGUCUGGUGUGAAAUCUCCACGCUCAACGUGGAGGGGCCACCCGAUACUGCAAUGACUGGAGUCCGGUAGAGGAGUGUGGAAUUCCCGGUGUAGCGGUGAAAUGCGCAGAUAUCGGGAGGAACACCUGCGGCGAAGGCGGGUUGCUGGGCUGACACUGACGCUGAAGCGCGAAAGCUAGGGGAGCGAACGGG